AGAGUUUGAUCCUGGCUCAGGAUGAACGCUAGCUACAGGCUUAACACAUGCAAGUCGAGGGGCAUCAAAUUGGUUGCUUGCAACCGAUGUUGGCGACCGGCGCACGGGUGAGUAACGCGUAUCCAACCUUCCCUUUACUCUGGUAUAGCCCAGCGAAAGUUGGAUUAAUACCGGAUGUUAUCGAAAGCUCUCAUGAGACUUUGAUCAAAGAUUUUAUCGGUAAAGGAUGGGGAUGCGUCUGAUUAGGCAGUUGGCGGGGUAACGGCCCACCAAACCUACGAUCAGUAGGGGUUCUGAGAGGAAGGUCCCCCACAUUGGAACUGAGACACGGUCCAAACUCCUACGGGAGGCAGCAGUGAGGAAUAUUGGUCAAUGGACGUAAGUCUGAACCAGCCAAGUAGCGUGCAGGAUGACGGCCCUAUGGGUUGUAAACUGCUUUUAUGCGGGGAUAAAGUGAGGGACGUGUCCCUUUUUGCAGGUACCGCAUGAAUAAGGACCGGCUAAUUCCGUGCCAGCAGCCGCGGUAAUACGGAAGGUCCAGGCGUUAUCCGGAUUUAUUGGGUUUAAAGGGAGCGUAGGCUGGAGAUUAAGUGUGUUGUGAAAUGUAGACGCUCAACGUCUGACUUGCAGCGCAUACUGGUUUCCUUGAGUACGCACAACGUUGGCGGAAUUCGUCGUGUAGCGGUGAAAUGCUUAGAUAUGACGAAGAACUCCGAUUGCGAAGGCAGCUGACGGGAGCGCAACUGACGCUGAAGCUCGAAGGUGCGGGUAUCGAACAGGAUUAGAUACCCUGGUAGUCCGCACAGUAAACGAUGGAUGCCCGCUGUUGGUACCUGGUAUCAGCGGCUAAGCGAAAGCAUUAAGCAUCCCACCUGGGGAGUACGCCGGCAACGGUGAAACUCAAAGGAAUUGACGGGGGCCCG
rnacentral:rRNA from 1 species